rnacentral:rRNA from 1 species
GAGCACAAGGAGCUGGUAUCAGGCACGAUAAUCUGCCCAAAACACCUAGCAAUGCCACACCCACAAGGGUAUUCAGCAGUGAUUAAACAUUAAAGAAUAAGCGUAAGCUUGACUUAGUUAAAGUAAAAUAGAGCCGGCUAAUCUGGUGCCAGCCGCCGCGGUCACACCACGUGGCUCAAAUUGACCCUUUUCCGGCGUAAAGCGUGAUUAAAGCCCCCUAACAUUAGAGUUAAACUAAAAUAAAGCUGUGACACGCCUAUAAUUAAGAAAACCAAACACGAAAGUUACUCUAACUUAACCAACUUGAAUUCACGACAGCUGGGGAACAAACUGGGAUUAGAUACCCCACUAUGCCCAGCCAUAAACUUUUAUUUACAAUCAAAUCGCCAGGGGACUACGAGCUAAGCUUAAAACCCAAAGGACUUGACGGUACCCCAUAUCCACCUAGAGGAGCCUGUCCUAUAAUCGAUAAUCCACGUUUAACCUCACCAUCCCUGGCUAAUCAGCCUGUAUACCUCCGUCGCCAGCUUACCCCGUGAGCGCUUAUUAGUGAGCUUAAUGUUAUUUCACCAACACGUCAGGUCAAGGUGCAGCAAAUGAGAUGGAAAGAGAUGGGCUACACUUUCUACUAUAGAAAACACGAAAAAUUAUUUAUGAAACCUAAUUGGAAGGCGGAUUUAGAAGUAAAAAGGAAUUAGCAUAUCCAUUUUAACCUGGCACUGGGGUGUGUACACACCGCCCGUCACCCUCUUCAAAAUCCUAUACCACAGUUUUUAACAAACUAAAAGACAACAGAAGAGGCAAGUCGUAACAUGGUAAGUAUACCGGAAGGUGUGCUUGGAAA